rnacentral:rRNA from 1 species
UACAGAGGUCUCAAGCGUUGUUCGGAUUCAUUGGGCGUAAAGGGUGCGUAGGCGGCGCGGUAAGUCGGGUGUGAAAUCUCGGGGCUUAACUCCGAAACUGCAUUCGAUACUGCCGUGCUUGAGGACUGGAGAGGAGACUGGAAUUUACGGUGUAGCGGUGAAAUGCGUAGAUAUCGUAAGGAAGACCAGUGGCGAAGGCGGGUCUCUGGACAGUACCUGACGCUGAGGCACGAAGGUCAGGGGAGCAAACGGG